rnacentral:rRNA from 1 species
AUGAGAUUUCCCAACUUCGGUUAUAAGAUCCCUCGAAGAUGACGAGGUUAAUAGGUUCGAGGUGGAAGCGUGGUGACACGUGUAGCUGACGAAUACUAAUCGAUCGAAGACUUAAUCAAUUU